rnacentral:lncRNA from 1 species
CGCCGCCCGGACCCGUCCUGCUGGGGCGCAGGUGCCCCUAGAGGAGGCCGCCCGGGGCCCCCGUCGUAACAUUCCCAUAAUGAAGCCUGUUUGAUGGGAGAUGUAUGUAGAUGCCAGUGGUUUUAGGUGAGUGAAUGACAGACAUAGGAAUAUUGUUUGCACAAUGAUUAAAAACGUUUACGUUUUAGACUUUCUUUUCGUUC